GCAUUGGUGGUUCAGUGGUAGAAUUCUCGCCUGCCACGCGGGAGAUCCAGGUGCGAUCUCCCGGCCAAUGCA
rnacentral:tRNA from 1 species